CAAUAGCGUAUAUUAAAGUUGUUGCGGUUAAAAAGCUCGUAGUUGGAUUUCUGCUGAGGACGACCGGUCCGCCCUCCGGGUGAGCAUCUGGUUCGGCCUUGGCAUCUUCUUGGUGAACGUAUCUGCACUUGACUGUGUGGUGCGGUACCCAGGACUUUUACUUUGAGGAAAUUAGAGUGUUCACGGCAGGCAAGCGCCUUGAAUAUAUUAGCAUGGAAUAAUAAUAUAGGAUCUCGGUUCUAUUUUGUUGGUUUCUAGAAUCAGGAUAAUGAUUAAUAGGGAUAAUUGGGGGCAUUUGUAUUAACGCGUCAGAGGUGGAAUUCUUGGAUUGCGUUACGACAAACUACUGCGAAAGCAUUUGCCAAGGAUGUUUUCAUUGAUCAAGAACGAAAGUAUGGGGAUCGAAGACGAUCAGAUACCAU
rnacentral:rRNA from 1 species